UGAGGAAUAUUGGUCAAUGGGCGAGAGCCUGAACCAGCCAAGUAGCGUGCAGGACGACGGCCCUAUGGGUUGUAAACUGCUUUUAUGUGGGGAUAAAGUGCGUGACGUGUCAUGCAUUGCAGGUACCACAUGAAUAAGGACCGGCUAAUUCCGUGCCAGCAGCCGCGGUAAUACGGAAGGUCCGGGCGUUAUCCGGAUUUAUUGGGUUUAAAGGGAGCGUAGGCCGUUUGGUAAGCGUGUUGUGAAAUGUAGGAGCUCAACUUCUAGAUUGCAGCGCGAACUGUCAGACUUGAGUGCGCACAACGUAGGCGGAAUUCAUGGUGUAGCGAUGAAAUGCUUAGAUAUCAUGAAGAACUCCGAUUGCGAAGGCAGCUUACGGGAGCGCAACUGACGCUGAAGCUCGAAGGUGCGGGUAUCGAACAGG
rnacentral:rRNA from 1 species